GACGCAGCCGGGACGGUAGCUGCGGUGCGGACCGGAGGAGCCAUCUUGUCUCGUCGCCGGGGAGUCAGGCCCCUAAAUCGAAGAAGCCCUGGCGCGCCCUCCCCCCCUCCCGGGUCUGGUAGGGCGAAGGAACGGGCGUGCGGUCGAUCGAGCGAUCGGGCAGAGACAGAUAAUCUCACUUCCAGAGAAAUGACUUGGAGAAAAAAAAGUGUUGGUCUUUUUGCUCUUUUGUAAUUAAAUCCGGAUGUACCUCAAAAGACUUAAGACUGUGGUGAUAAGAUGCUUUCCUCAGCAGAAAGGAGGGAAAAAAAACAACUGGAACUCAAAGCUUGAAAUUCUGUGGCAAAACAUGAGAUGUCCAGGAUUGGAGGUUGAAAAGAUUUCACUACAGUGUUCUGCAAUAGUUGGAGCAGAUAACUUUCAGUGUAGCCACAGCCAUGGACUCCAGAUUUCCAGAUUUUCAAGACCUGGACCUGGAACCCGAAAGAGCUUGUCACGAUGCGGCAGGAACACUGGAGGUAGAUUUUUUUUUAUUUUUGAAUUUUGGGACUGUUGACCUUGCUGUGAGAAAAGAGACAACGACUGAGCAAGCACUACCACCAGCACUGUUACUGGGAAUUAGAAGACCUGAGUUUCUGUCCAGACCCUCAGUGCAAACUGAGGAUGCUCCAUCCAAAGUGAAUUAUGCCUACAGACCUGGUACCUGGAUUUUUGCCCGAGAUGAUUCCUACCACCUUACUACUGACGAAGACACCCAUUCCAGUGGACCACUGUGACCCAGGAGGCAUUCAGCCAUCAUGAUGUGGCCUUUACCUCCACUCCUGUCUUGUUCUACCCAGAUUCAGCACAGCCCUUUAUAGUGAAGUCAGAGUCCUCAAGCCAAAUAGCUAAAGCUGUUUUAUCACAACAAAGGCCUAGUUUGUUCCAUGAGUGUGCAUUUCAUUUCUUCAGUUAAAGCCUUCAGAGACACACAAUAAAUUUGGACCAGGGGAUUUUUUAGUUAUUAAUGCUCUCUGAAGAAAGGCAACAUCUUUUUGAGAGCAGCAUUGGACCACACCCCACAAUCUCAAAUGAUUGAAAUUCAUGAACAUCUAGGAUCCCGUGAAGGUCACUGGACCCUGUUUUUUCUACUUCAAAUCCUGUAGUAGCCUACUGAAUGAGAAAACAUAUUCUGACCCAUUGGGAUCAAAUCAAAGGCACAGUGAACUCCUCAUAGCAUCUUCUUUGGAAUUACUCAGGAACCAGAACUUUUUACACAAAUGUAAGAAAUUCUACCAAGGAGUCCCCUUACCUAACAGCAUCUCACAAGGCUGCACCAGAUUCCAGAAAAGGCUUCUCUUGAUACAUCAAGCAUUUUGUGACCGACUUAUUCUUAGAUCAUUGGUUUUCCAAAGGCUUUGUGGCCAUGAAGCCCUUUGAGUGAAAACUGUGCAGAAGCCCAGAGUAAAAGUGAAGCUGCUCUGGAUGAAGUAGUGAAGCAAGAGUAGGGGCCUGAAUCCUGCUACAACUAUCUUCCUUUACCACCGUGGUGACACCUAAGGGGACUUCCUUACAACACCUUGAACUCUUCCGAACACAGUUUGAAAACCACUGCCCCAGACAGCAAUAUGUUUGACCUGAAUGGCAUUCCAAUCUUUUCUGUACCUCCACUCAGCACAGUUCAUGUUCAGUAGAUGCUGAACAUUCUUAGAAAUACUGUGUGUGAACUUAGAAAAGUGCAAGAAGACAGGCAUGUCUUUGACCCCAGGAAUGAUCAUUUGCUGAAGAUGGUGUCAAGUGAACCUAGAUUAACAGCCCUCCACUCCAGAUGGAUAUCCAGUGAUUCCUAGAAUGGGAUAUAGCCAGAGAACAAUUCUAUGCACCCUACACUGACAGACUCCCUUAAGCAACACCAGAUGCUCUACUGGUACUUGAAGUACAUGACUUUGAAGUCUUGACCCUCCAUGAAUACCUGAAUUAUCAGCAAGCGGGUUUUGAAGCUGGUGCCUCAUUGAGGCCAUAUUAGAGCAACUUGUACAUUUGACCUCUUGUUAUCAGCCAUGGUACUCUACUUCGUGUGCAAGAGAUAACUAUGAAAGCCAAAUUCAAAUACUGGCAACAUUUCCUAAAGGGGCUCAAUAUCUAUCAUUCGUCUUCUUUUCCAAACUACACAUCACUGUAUGACUCAACCAGUAGCAGUUAUAUUGCCCCUUGGUUUUUAUUCAGUUUAACUACUGUUUCCAAGAUAAAUGAGCUAAUAAGCUUUAAAAAAAAAAAAAAAAAAGGCUGAAUUCUUUUUUCUUCAUCACUGGCAUAUCUGCCUAUUCUCCAGAAUUAUUAUGACUAUUCAGCUCACUUUAACAGUUGAACUUCAAGCGACAAUCUUUGAACACCCCUUCUCAUGUGAUUUAAAAUGAAACCAUUUGGAAAAGUUUCUUCUAGCCAGUAAUAGAUUUUUUUUUUAAUUGCUCUGCCUUGUGCCGAGAGAUGUUCUUUUAAGAUGAAUCUUUUGAUGUCUGAUACCACCAAAUAUAGGUGGUAGGGAGAGUUGGAGGCUGGCCCUUUGAGCAGGCCAUUAGCUUACUUGCUGGGCAUUUCCGAUAGCUUAUUGCCUACCUUUUUGCUGGAAACAAACUGAUUUGAAAAACAAAAUCUAUGAAGACUGCAGCUAAGGAUUUUAUCGGUAGACUUAAGAGCUUUUGUCCUUGUGGAUAUUUUAGUGGAACCACAUCAGUCUCAAUACUGUCAUUUUACACUGACUCAGAGCAGCUGACUUCAUUCCUUGCCAUGAUAUAUAUUUAAGGCAGGCAUUGUAACAGACAUAAAGACAACUUAUCUGUUUCAGCAGGAAGGAUUCAGUUUAUGAACUCUCAGACCAGAUCAUGUUGAACAAGGAGACUUUGAUGUGUGUCAUGAGAAAACUCAUUCUUUACUUCCCAGUCAAUUUAAAGGCCAGCUAUCCUGAGCUACUCGAAUGAAUGCACUGGUUAAACAUUGGAAAUAGUUUGUUUAUAUCCUUGUCUCUCUCUAGGCCAAUUGUGAUUACAUGACUCGACUCUACAUCUCGUCAAACAAGGCCUAGGUCUGGUUGCUGUAGACUGCUCGCCCUCAACAAAUAAAAUCUGGUUGACUAGCCUCCUUGUAUAUACAACUAUUAUUUGUUAAGAAGAAAUUAUCGUCAAUUUUCUACUACCUUCCAAUUGUCAGCUCUUUUUUUCCUCUCUGGUUUUUCCUAUACUUUACAGAAAAAGACAUUGAUCUAUACUGCCAUUCCCUCUAAUCCUGCCAUACUCAGUCAAAAGGAAUGACUUAAGAUGAAGAUGAUCAUCUGCUCGAGUCUAAAAUAUACAUUGUAUAUAAGAAUUGGUGAUUAGAAAAGCAAAAAACCUAAAACUUAAAUCUAGGAGUCUGUAUACUGUCUCCAUGUCUCCAUGCCUCAGAUCUCAUCUAAAUCUUUGAACAGCACCAUUCAACCAAUCUGAGGCCUUGACUUGCUUGUAAGAUGAUUCUCAGAGAUCGGCUGAGUUAAAAAAGAUGACGACUUGAUUACCAAAGAAAGUAGGGCCAACUUUGACAAAUCUGGCUCUGCUGACCCUGUCACUCCCAGAUGUAGCAUAGACUCCUAAACAGAACCUCAAGUCUGAUUGAGGAUAAGGCCUUCUCCUGAGCUGAAAGUUCUUUGGCAGAUGAGCAAGAAACUGAAAGCUGAUGUACCUGACUGGCUCUGUAAGAUCAGAAAACUGUAUCCAGAAUAAGCCCUAUGGAUUAACCCCUGAGUACCCAGAGUAAAAACUAAUUUACAGAACUUCCUUAUUGAUCUGCUGGUUCUUCCAGAUCAUAUUCUGGCUAUUGGUAUGGCUGGCCUUUCUGAAGGUACCCUGCUUGUCUAUUUUCCUGACUCAGCUCUUGCCUGCCUUUUUCACAUGUUGCUGCAAUUAGACUCACCGUGAGGACUACAGUCAAUUUCAGUCUAUCUUGUGCCCAAUACAACAAGGAUUUUUAAUAGUAACAACCCACACCUCACCCACUAGGACUCAAUGUUCACAACAGGAAGGACCAUUGCUGCAUACUCCUUGACCAGCAACUUUUUUGAAGAUAUUUUUAAGUGCAGAGUAGGCCUCUAUUCCUGUAUGUAAUUGUUCAUUUUCAGCACCUGGAACCUCAUCUAUCGGGUCUGGAAGGAAUACAGCAGUUCGAAAGCCGCGUCCAUUUCUCUCCUUCAGUAGUGCAGAAAUGAGUCCGAUUCACCAGUACACACAGAACUGUACCAGUUCAACCUAGCAAAAGAAGAAAAGUUUCCACUGUACUUAAAAUUUACAGCUGACUCAAAUUGCCUCACAGAAUUAUUUGAUGUAGAAGGCUAGUUGUCUUACUUCAGAUCAGCAGGACAGUUGGGCUCUCAGACUCAUGACCACUGAGUUUGCUUGUGUUGAAACUGUGGUUUCAUCCAACAUAUGCUAUUGGACAUGAUUAUUAUUCCAUUCAAAUGGAUUACAGACUUCUUGAGGACAGGACAAACUUAUCUCUCAUGGUGUUUUUUUAGAAUACUUUUAUAACCAAGGAAGAAACCAUGCCAGCUGUUACCAUUCAACUUCUUAAGCAGAGAUUAAGCUUUUUCAUAUCUGUUCUUAUCCUGGACAUCAGUAGUUUUUAAUUGCCCAGCAUCCGUUCCAUCUUGUAACAACUCCCUGAUGUUUCUUAAAACCACCUCUUCCUAUUUUCAGUCUGUGGUUUGGACAGUCUGACCCAACCUUGAGCUUUGUGGGUGAACAUGUAAUUCAGACCUCAUCAAUCAGCAAAUCCAUCUGAACUGUGGAGGAGAAGCUCUCUUUACUGAGGGUGCUUUAGCUUUGUAGGAUGAAAACCUCAAACUAACAGGGCCUACCAUGUAGAGAAUGAAGCCAGUGCAGGGGAAAGCAGAGCCAAAAUAUGGAGAGACUUGAAUCCUGAUGACAGCGUUUGUGCCCCUGGAUCCAACCGUGCCUGAAGCUAGAAUAUCCCCUGGACUUUUCAGUUAUGUGAACCAAUAAAUACCCUUUUUUGCUUAAGUUACUUUGAGUUGGGUUUCUGUUACUUGAAAUUGAAUCCACACUAAUAUAUCUACCAACAUUGAGACUUGACAGAUCCAAGUAUUUAUUAAGCUAGAGGUCAUGGUCACUGAAAUUACUUUCCAAAGUGGAAGACAAAAUGAAACAGGAACUGAGGGAAUAUUUAAGAUCCCACAGAAGCGUAAAAAUGACAUGGUAGAAAGUAAUAGAAAACCUAAAUGUCUGUCAUUAAAGGAUAGGUUAAGGUGUGGUUCAGCCAUAUAGGAAUAUCUCGUAUCUGUUAAAAUGAAUAAAGUACAUUCAUUGUGUAUGGAAAAAUGGCCAUGAUACAUUAGGUGAAACAAGUUAUUAAUAGAAAAGUGUACAGUGUGAACUCAUUUUAAAAUGUGUGUGCUUAUGUUUAUAAAUGCAUAGAAAGGUCUAUUCACAGCUUUCUUUGAACAGUGUAGAUCACAUGAAACUUUCAACUUUAUACAUUUCUGUAUUAAUAUUUUACACUACCCACAUUAUUUUUAAACUUUAUUUUAAAUAAAGAAUUUUU
rnacentral:lncRNA from 1 species